rnacentral:rRNA from 1 species
GGGGGGGGGGGGGGGGGGGGGGGGGGCGUGGAGGGCGGGGGGGAGGGCGGGGGUGGGGUGGGGUGCGGGGGGGGGGAGCGGGUGAGUGGCACGUGGGUGGCCUGCCCUUGAGUGUGGGAGAACCUCCGGCAACUGGGGCUCAUACCGGCUAGGAGCUCCUGCUGCAUGGUGGGGGGUGGCAAGUGGCGUCGGUGGGGGAUGGACGGGCGGCUCAUCAGCUUGUUGGUGGGGUACUGACUUACCAAGGCUUUGACGGGUAGCCGGCCUGAGAGGGUGACCGGCCACAUUGGGACUGAGAUACGGCCCAGACUCCUACGGGAGGCAGCAGUGGGGAAUAUUGCACAAUGGGCGGAAGCCUGAUGCAGCAACGCCGCGUGCGGGAUGACGGCCUUCGGGUUGUAAACCGCUUUCGCCUGUGACGAAGCGUGAGUGACGGUAAUGGGUAAAGAAGCACCGGCUAACUACGUG